rnacentral:rRNA from 1 species
AGAGUUUGAUCCUGGCUCAGGACGAACGCUGGCGGCACGCUUAACACAUGCAAGUCGAACGAGAGAAGAGGAGCUUGCUUUUCUGAUCUAGUGGCGGACGGGUGAGUAACACGUGAGCAAUCUGCCUUUCAGAGGGGGAUACCGAUUGGAAACGAUCGUUAAUACCGCAUAACAUAAUUGAACCGCAUGAUUUGAUUAUCAAAGAUUUAUCGCUGAAAGAUGAGCUCGCGUCUGAUUAGCUAGUUGGUAAAGUAACGGCUUACCAAGGCGACGAUCAGUAGCCGGACUGAGAGGUUGAUCGGCCACAUUGGGACUGAGACACGGCCCAGACUCCUACGGGAGGCAGCAGUGGGGAAUAUUGCACAAUGGAGGAAACUCUGAUGCAGCGAUGCCGCGUGAGGGAAGAAGGUUUUAGGAUUGUAAACCUCUGUCUUCAGGGACGAAAAAAGACGGUACCUGAGGAGGAAGCUCCGGCUAACUACGUGCCAGCAGCCGCGGUAAUACGUAGGGAGCGAGCGUUGUCCGGAAUUACUGGGUGUAAAGGGAGCGUAGGCGGGAUCGCAAGUCAGAUGUGAAAACUAUGGGCUUAACCCAUAAACUGCAUUUGAAACUGUGGUUCUUGAGUGAAGUAGAGGUAAGCGGAAUUCCUAGUGUAGCGGUGAAAUGCGUAGAUAUUAGGAGGAACAUCAGUGGCGAAGGCGGCUUACUGGGCUUUAACUGACGCUGAGGCUCGAAAGCGUGGGGAGCAAACAGGAUUAGAUACCCUGGUAGUCCACGCCGUAAACGAUGAUUACUAGGUGUGGGGGGACUGACCCCUUCCGUGCCGCAGCAAACGCAAUAAGUAAUCCACCUGGGGAGUACGACCGCAAGGUUGAAACUCAAAGGAAUUGACGGGGGCCCGCACAAGCAGUGGAGUAUGUGGAUUAAUUCGAAGCAACGCGAAGAACCUUACCAGGUCUUGACAUCGUAUGCAUAGCUCAGAGAUGAGUGAAAUCUCUUCGGAGACAUAUAGACAGGUGGUGCAUGGUUGUCGUCAGCUCGUGUCGUGAGAUGUUGGGUUAAGUCCCGCAACGAGCGCAACCCUUACUGUUAGUUGCUACGCAAGAGCACUCUAGCAGGACUGCCGUUGACAAAACGGAGGAAGGUGGGGAUGACGUCAAAUCAUCAUGCCCCUUAUGACCUGGGCCUCACACGUACUACAAUGGCUGUCAACAGAGGGAAGCAAAGCCGCGAGGUGGAGCGAACCCCUAAAAGCAGUCUUAGUUCGGAUUGUAGGCUGCAACCCGCCUACAUGAAGUCGGAAUUGCUAGUAAUCGCAGAUCAGCAUGCUGCGGUGAAUACGUUCCCGGGCCUUGUACACACCGCCCGUCACGCCAUGGGAGUCGGUAACACCCGAAGCCUGUAGUCUAACCGCAAGGAGGACGCAGUCGAAGGUGGGAUUGAUGACUGGGGUGAAGUCGUAACAAGGUA